CAGCCGCCACGGGAAUACGUAGGGAGCAAGCGUUGUUCGGAUUUACUGGGCGUAAAGGGCGCGUAGGCGGCGCGGUAAGUCACGUGUGAAAUCUCUGAGCUUAACUCAGAACGGCCAAGUGAUACUGCUGUGCUAGAGUGCGGAAGAGGCAACCGGAAUUCUUGGUGUAGCGGUGAAAUGCGUAGAUAUCAAGAGGAACACCUGAGGCGAAGGCGGGUUGCUGGGCCGACACUGACGCUGACGCGCGAAAGCCAGGGGAGCAAACGGGAUUAGAUACCCGGGUAGUCCCUGUCUCUUAUAC
rnacentral:rRNA from 1 species